CUCUUUCUUCUCAUCAGGGACUACAGGUGGAAAUUAGCAAGUGUUACUAUAAACUGGCCCAAGACAUAUUCUCUUGUAUUACAAGUUUGUGUAGUACAUGUUUAUUUGUGCAUUGUCCCUGUUUCAAAUAAAUACAUUUCCAUUCCAUCCCUGUUUCCCUCAUCCCUUCCUACUCAACCUGGGCAUACCUCUC